rnacentral:rRNA from 1 species
UUCCGCCUGGGGAGUACGGCCGCAAGGCUGAAACUCAAAGGAAUUGACGGGGACCCGCACAAGCGGUGGAUGAUGUGGAUUAAUUCGAUGCAACGCGAAAAACCUUACCUACCCUUGACAUGUCUGGAAUCCUGAAGAGAUUUAGGAGUGCUCGCAAGAGAACCGGAACACAGGUGCUGCAUGGCUGUCGUCAGCUCGUGUUGUGAAAUGUUGGGUUAAGUCCCGCAACGAGCGCAACCCUUGUCUUAUGUUGCCAGCACGUUUGGGUGGGGACUCAU